rnacentral:rRNA from 1 species
GACGAACGCUGGCGGCGUGCUUAACACAUGCAAGUCGAACGGAAAGGCCCUGCUUUUGUGGGGUGCUCGAGUGGCGAACGGGUGAGUAACACGUGAGUAACCUGCCCUUGACUUUGGGAUAACUUCAGGAAACUGGGGCUAAUAACAGAUAGGAGCUCCUGCUGCUUGGUGGGGGUUGGAAAGUUUCGGCGGUUGGGGAUGGACUCGCGGCUUAUCAGCUUGUUGGUGGGGUAGUGGCUUACCAAGGCUUUGACGGGUAGCCGGCCUGAGAGGGUGACCGGCCACAUUGGGACUGAGAUACGGCCCAGACUCCUACGGGAGGCAGCAGUGGGGAAUAUUGCACAAUGGGCGGAAGCCUGAUGCAGCAACGCCGCGUGCGGGAUGACGGCCUUCGGGUUGUAAACCGCUUUCGCCUGUGACGAAGCGUGAGUGACGGUAAUGGGUAAAGAAGCACCGGCUAACUACGUG